rnacentral:rRNA from 1 species
GACGAACGCUGGCGGCGUGCUUAACACAUGCAAGUCGAACGGUGAGGCGCCUUGCUUUUUUGUGUGUUUUUAUGAGUGGCGAGCGGGUUAGUAACACGUUAAUAUCCUGCUCCCUUCUGCUUGACUACCGCAUGAAAGAGUGGCUAAUACGUGAUAUUCUGGGUCUGUCGCAUCAUGGGUCUAGGAAAGAUAUUGUGUCGGUGAGGGAUGGGCUCGCGGCCUAUCAGCUUGUUGGUGAGGUGAUGGCCUACCAAGGCGGUGACGGGUAGCCGGCCUGAGAGGGUGGGCGGUCACACUGGGACUGCGACACGGAGACGACUACUACGGGCGGCAGCAGUGGGGAAUAUGGCAUAAUGGGCGGACGGAUGAUGCAGCGACGCGGCGUGAGGGAUGGUGGCCGUAGGGUUGUGAACUUCUUUCGCCAGUGAAGAAGGCUUGCCUCGUUUGUGGGUGGGUUGACGGUAGCUAGAUAAGAAGCGACGGCUAACUACGUG